GAUGAACGCUAGCUACAGGCUUAACACAUGCAAGUCGAACGGGAGUAAGUGCUUCGGUAUUUACUUUAGUGGCGAACGGGUGAGUAACGCGUGAGGAACCUGCCUUUCAGUGGGGGACAACAGUUGGAAACGACUGCUAAUACCGCAUGACGCUUCUUAGGGGCAUCCCUGAGAAGUCAAAGCUUUAUGUGCUGAAAGAUGGCCUCGCGUCUGAUUAGCUAGUUGGUGGGGUAACGGCCCACCAAGGCGACGAUCAGUAGCCGGUCUGAGAGGAUGAACGGCCACAUUGGGACUGAGAUACGGCCCAA
rnacentral:rRNA from 1 species